rnacentral:snRNA from 1 species
GUGCUCGGUUCGGCAGCACAUAUACUAAAAUUAGAAUGAUACAGAGAAGAUUAGCAUGGCCCCUUCAAAGGAUGACACGCAAAUUUGUGAAGCAUUCCAUAAAAAA